rnacentral:rRNA from 1 species
AUGAAAGUUGCUCAGAACGACGAGACGAACCCGGAUACGCAACCCGUUCGUCCGCCACGCAUCCCUAGCAUACCAAACACGCAACUUUCCCCCUCCGGUUCAUUUGUCCGAAAACGCGAAACACCGGGAAUACUUUCCCGGAUGUUUUCCCCCUUCACCGGUACCACCUCGUACCGCGUUAGGGCACACCUAGCAUCACGCUUUGUCAUGUCAUGCAUCGUCAUGCAUUUGUUUGCAUUAUAUUUAUUGUUUCUUCCCCCUCUUCUCUUGCUAGACAUCGAGAUCGACGCUGCUGCUACCCAGUACGACUACGGUGUUGACGACCCCUCUCUCUUGCCAGAGCAACCAGGCAAGCCCCCCCCCCUGAUCACCAGAUAUCGCCUACUCUACUCUCUAUACUGCUUGCAUUAG